rnacentral:lncRNA from 1 species
GGGUGCCAUUGUGAGGUCUCAUGAAGAAGAAAGUGAAAAAAAAAACUUGCUUUCCUACAAAACUCUAAAUCUUGAAAUCCUAGGAUUUAUUGUAUGUGAUGUAAGUUGCAAAGAAAAGUAAUUACAUCUAAUCUUCAUAAUCAAAAUUAUUUUGAUUUGAUUAUUGCAUAAAAUAUGAGGGCAUAGAUUAGCUUAAAUCAGAUCCUCUUAAUUAGGUUAGACCUAAGGUUAGAAUCAAAAAGUUAGACCAUGUA